AAACUUGGAUAAAACAUAGCCGGCGUCGGGAGAUGCUUUCCGCGCAGAAUUCAAAGCAUAUAAACAAACCCGGGGAGGGAGCGAGGUUGUCCGGAGGGGGCCUUCAGGAGUAAUAUUUAGAAGUACUAGCUGAAAAUAUCCCCGCAGACAGGGCUGUUUUAUCAAGGCAGAUUUCCAGCRUYGUGUGGGAAAGCRUCAAUUCUGGGCGCGCGUUGUUUCRGGGGAAAAGACAGCGAGAACCCCGAAACGUUUCCCUCCCGCAGGACGGACGGAAGCCCAGGACUCGCCCGGCGUCGGGCUCCCGUUGUGGCUCUGCCCGUCUCCCGGUUCGGGAGCAGCUGGGUCACGUGGACUCACCAGUAUCCUACUGGGAGGACCAGCGUGCUUGAUCUGUGCUGGGCAUCRGCCACGCAAUAGGCACUGGCACACCAGCAGCUGCCCUGCCUGCUUCCGCUUGGGAUGCGCCAGUUUUGGGAAACCCACCCUUGGAGCUGGGAGCAGAGCCGCCGACUGGAUCUUUGCAGUGGGACCAAGUGAGCUGAACCGAGUCCCAGCUUUUAGCUGGGAGCUGCAUCUUCCCCCCACCCCGGGAAGAUGAGAGGAAAGCGCUUCCCUGGAAAUCAGGUCUCCCUGUCGGAGCUGGGCUGAGCACCUCCGCUCAGAGUGCGGCUCUCUUGAAGUAAGGUUUACAGAUUUCAGAACUUUAGGGGUUUUUAAUGACUUCUGUCAAAAUCUGAGAGAUGUGUGAGCACUCCGCAAAGCGAGCUAGCCGGCUUUGUGCCGUUACCUGAUGCGAGGGCGGGUUUGCAGCGCGGAGACCGCAGUGAGUCAGGAGAGCACGUCCCGUUAAYGGCUCGGCUGCGGCUGCACACCACGUUUGGAGCGUGAGGGAAUAACUCGCAGAGCAGUGGAAGAGCUGAGGCGGCAGGCUGGGGUGCUGGGCGCUUCCUCAUGUCGCCCGGUUUUCGGAGCAGAGCUGCUCUGCAAUAAAACACCUGCUAUUCCGGCGCCA
rnacentral:lncRNA from 1 species